GGGUUGUGAGGUUAAGCGACUAAGCGUACACGGUGGAUGCCCUGGCAGUCAGAGGCGAUGAAGGACGUGCUAAUCUGCGAAAAGCGUCGGUAAGGUGAUAUGAACCGUUACAGCCGGCGAUGUCCGAAUGGGGAAACCCAGUGCAAUUCGUUGCACUAUCGUUAACUGAAUACAUAGGUUAACGAGGCGAACCGGGGGAACUGAAACAUCUAAGUACCCCGAGGAAAAGAAAUCAACCGAGAUUCCCCCAGUAGCGGCGAGCGAACGGGGAGCAGCCCAGAGUCUGAAUCAGCUUGUGUGUUAGUGGAACGGUCUGGAAAGUCCGACGGUACAGGGUGAUAGUCCCGUACACCAAAAUGCACAGGCUGUGAACUCGAAGAGUAGGGCGGGACACGUGGUAUCCUGUCUGAAUAUGGGGGGACCAUCCUCCAAGGCUAAAUACUCCUGACUGACCGAUAGUGAACCAGUACCGUGAGGGAAAGGCGAAAAGAACCCCGGCGAGGGGAGUGAAAAAGAACCUGAAACCGUGUACGUACAAGCAGUGGGAGCACCUUCGGGUGUGACUGCGUACCUUUUGUAUAAUGGGUCAGCGACUUAUAUUCUGUAGCAAGGUUAACCGUAUAGGGGAGCCGCAGGGAAACCGAGUCUUAACUGGGCGUUAAGUUGCAGGGUAUAGACCCGAAACCCGGUGAUCUAGCCAUGGGCAGGUUGAAGGUUGGGUAACACUAACUGGAGGACCGAACCGACUAAUGUUGAAAAAUUAGCGGAUGACUUGUGGCUGGGGGUGAAAGGCCAAUCAAACCGGGAGAUAGCUGGUUCUCCCCGAAAGCUAUUUAGGUAGCGCCUCGUGAACUCAUCUUCGGGGGUAGAGCACUGUUUCGGCUAGGGGGUCAUCCCGACUUACCAACCCGAUGCAAACUACGAAUACCGAAGAAUGUUAUCACGGGAGACACACGGCGGGUGCUAACGUCCGUCGUGAAGAGGGAAACAACCCAGACCGCCAGCUAAGGUCCCAAAGUCACAGUUAAGUGGGAAACGAUGUGGGAAGGCACAGACAGCCAGGAUGUUGGCUUAGAAGCAGCCAUCAUUUAAAGAAAGCGUAAUAGCUCACUGGUCGAGUCGGCCUGCGCGGAAGAUGUAACGGGGCUAAACUGUGCACCGAAGCUGCGGCAGCGACACUAUGUGUUGUUGGGUAGGGGAGCGUUCUGUAAGCCUGCGAAGGUGGCCUGUGAGGGUUGCUGGAGGUAUCAGAAGUGCGAAUGCUGACAUAAGUAACGAUAAUGCGGGUGAAAAGCCCGCACGCCGGAAGACCAAGGGUUCCUGUCCAACGUUAAUCGGGGCAGGGUGAGUCGACCCCUAAGGCGAGGCCGAAAGGCGUAGUCGAUGGGAAACAGGUUAAUAUUCCUGUACUUGGUGUUACUGCGAAGGGGGGACGGAGAAGGCUAUGUUAGCCGGGCGACGGUUGUCCCGGUUUAAGCAUGUAGGCGGAGGUUCCAGGUAAAUCCGGUACCUUUUAACGCUGAGGUGUGAUGACGAGGCACUACGGUGCUGAAGUAACAAAUGCCCUGCUUCCAGGAAAAGCCUCUAAGCAUCAGGUAACAUUGAAUCGUACCCCAAACCGACACAGGUGGUCAGGUAGAGAAUACCAAGGCGCUUGAGAGAACUCGGGUGAAGGAACUAGGCAAAAUGGUGCCGUAACUUCGGGAGAAGGCACGCUGAUAUGUAGGUGAAGUCCCUGCGGAUGGAGCUGAAAUCAGUCGAAGAUACCAGCUGGCUGCAACUGUUUAUUAAAAACACAGCACUGUGCAAACACGAAAGUGGACGUAUACGGUGUGACGCCUGCCCGGUGCCGGAAGGUUAAUUGAUGGGGUUAUCCGUAAGGAGAAGCUCUUGAUCGAAGCCCCGGUAAACGGCGGCCGUAACUAUAACGGUCCUAAGGUAGCGAAAUUCCUUGUCGGGUAAGUUCCGACCUGCACGAAUGGCGUAAUGAUGGCCAGGCUGUCUCCACCCGAGACUCAGUGAAAUUGAACUCGCUGUGAAGAUGCAGUGUACCCGCGGCAAGACGGAAAGACCCCGUGAACCUUUACUAUAGCUUGACACUGAACAUUGAGCCUUGAUGUGUAGGAUAGGUGGGAGGCUUUGAAGCGUGGACGCCAGUCUGCGUGGAGCCAACCUUGAAAUACCACCCUUUAAUGUUUGAUGUUCUAACGUUGGCCCCUAAUCGGGGUUGCGGACAGUGUCUGGUGGGUAGUUUGACUGGGGCGGUCUCCUCCCAAAGAGUAACGGAGGAGCACGAAGGUUAGCUAAUCCUGGUCGGACAUCAGGAGGUUAGUGCAAUGGCAUAAGCUAGCUUGACUGCGAGCGUGACGGCGCGAGCAGGUGCGAAAGCAGGUCAUAGUGAUCCGGUGGUUCUGAAUGGAAGGGCCAUCGCUCAACGGAUAAAAGGUACUCCGGGGAUAACAGGCUGAUACCGCCCAAGAGUUCAUAUCGACGGCGGUGUUUGGCACCUCGAUGUCGGCUCAUCACAUCCUGGGGCUGAAGUAGGUCCCAAGGGUAUGGCUGUUCGCCAUUUAAAGUGGUACGCGAGCUGGGUUUAGAACGUCGUGAGACAGUUCGGUCCCUAUCUGCCGUGGGCGCUGGAGAAUUGAGGGGGGCUGCUCCUAGUACGAGAGGACCGGAGUGGACGCAUCACUGGUGUUCGGGUUGUCAUGCCAAUGGCAUUGCCCGGUAGCUAAAUGCGGAAGAGAUAAGUGCUGAAAGCAUCUAAGCACGAAACUUGCCCCGAGAUGAGUUCUCCCUGAGACUUUAAGUCUCCUGAAGGAACGUUAAAGACGAUGACGUUGAUAGGUCGGGUGUGUAAGCGUAGCGAUACGUUGAGCUAACCGAUACUAAUGAACCGUGAGGCUUAACCUUACAACGCCGAAGGUGUUU
rnacentral:rRNA from 1 species